GCUGAGGUCCAUGGAUGCCCAGCAGCGUGAGCCCUCCACAUCCGCACCCCACCUCCCUCCCUUCCCCAGAGGAAACAGUUCUGCUUAUCAGUGGCGGCUGCUCCUCACCCAGCAGCGGAAGUGAGGCUCCACAGCGGAGGUCCUGACGUGCUCCAGGGCUGACUCAGCCUCCUCCCUCCAGCAACCAGGACUUAGGCCAGGGCUGCCAUUCCUCGAGGAGCCAGCAGGGGACAAGGUGGCGGCCCCAACCCCUCCCAUCAAGGCCAACGCUGGGCCACAUCCACCUCUGUCCCAGCCAGGCCCUGGGGACUCGGUGGCGGAGGGACACAGCUGCUGAGCGACGACCGUAAGAACCGGCUCCAGAGGCCAGAGCUGUCUUGGGGACCAGACAGGCUGGCCCGUGAGAACGGGGAUCCUCCUGUGGGAGGAAACCGUCCCGGAAGCCUCCAUGGCCCUCGGUGGCCACACGGCUCUCCUUCCGGAAGAGACCCCCGGGUCACCACACGCAGAGCCAGAAAGGGUCCAGUUAUUUCAUUUUUACUAUUUCACAUUUUCAGCAAACAAAUCAAGGUGCAAACAGGGUUUAUUUCACAUUAAUAUAUUAACUGGAUUUUUUUGUCAAAUAAAUAGGGAAUUCUCUUUAAAUAACUAUCUCCUCACUUCAUGGCCAGUCCAGGAACAAACAAGAGUGAAUGUUAGCGCAUCCAGGGGCACGAAGCUUAAGGGGAAGAAGCAGGCUUGGGGGCUGGUGGCAGGUCCCGGCCAGCACACAGGGUCAGGGGCCCUUGUUCCCGGCCCCACCCAGCAGCCAUGCAUUCUCUGGUUCCAGUCGGGAAGCUCCUUCUAGAGGGAAGUGAGAGGUGAGGGAAAGCAAAUUCCAGAAACACCAGCAAAAGGCAGAAGGGCUUCCUCCCAGCCUCGGUGGCUCUGCCCCGACGCCACCCAAGCCCUGGAAGCUCAUUUUACAGCUUCGAAAGUCACACAGGGUGGCAACAACAUGACCCAGGAUAGGGAAGGGAAGGAAGGGUGGCGGGGGCUGCAGCUGGACCCUGGCUGAGUGGAAUGCGGGCGCGGUGGCCUUCUGAGACCAGCACAGACCAGCAGAGGGAAUGUGAGCAGGGUCUGGCAGGGCCGGGGAAGACACCUGGCUGGUCUGAAGUGGCUCAUGAGGCUGAGUGUAGCAGUGGGUGCCAGACUGAGGGAGCUGGACUGCGGUGGAGGAGAUGGCCAGAGAGUCCCUUCGAGGGGAGAAGCUGAGAGUGAAACUGGAACAGGGGAUGCCCCGUGCUCCCA